GUGCUUGCCUCAGCAGCACAUACACUAAAUUUGGAACAAUACAAAGGAGAUUAGUAUGGGCUUUGUGCAAGGAUUACAU
rnacentral:snRNA from 1 species